rnacentral:rRNA from 1 species
ACGGGUGGCAGCAGUCGAGAAUUUUUCUCAAUGGGGGAAACCCUGAAGGAGCGACGCCGCGUGGAGGAUGAAGGUUUUCGGAUUGUAAACUCCUGUCAUGAGAGAACAAACUUGUUGGGAGUAACUGCCCGGCAAUUGAUAGUACCUCAAGAGGAAGGGACGGCUAACUCUGUGCCAGCAGCCGCGGUAAUACAGAGGUCCCAAGCGUUGUUCGGAUUCAUUGGGCGUAAAGGGUGCGUAGGCGGCGCCGUAAGUCGGAUGUGAAAUCUCGGGGCUCAACCCUGAAACUGCAUUCGAUACUGCGGUGCUAGAGGACUGGAGAGGAAACUGGAAUUCACGGUGUAGCAGUGAAAUGCGUAGAUAUCGCGAGGAAGACCUGUGGCGAAGGCGGGUUUCUGGACAGUUCCUGACGCUGAGGCACGAAGGCCAGGGGAGCAAACGGGAUUAGAUACCCCGGUAGUCCUGGCAGUAAACGGUGCACGUUUGGUGUGGGAGGAUUCGACCCCUUCCGUGCCGGAGCUAACGCGUUAAACGUGCCGCCUGGGGAGUACGGUCGCAAGAUUAAAACUCAAAGAAAUUGACGGGGGCCCGCACAAGCGGUGGAGUAUGUGGCUUAAUUCGAUGCAACGCGAAGAACCUUACCAAGCCUUGACAUGCAUCUCUAAGUCGGUGAAAGCCGGCGAGUCUAGCAAUAGACAAUUUGCACAGGUGCUGCAUGGCUGUCGUCAGCUCGUGUCGUGAGAUGUUGGGUUAAGUCCCGCAACGAGCGCA